UGCCAGCAUUUUGCUGAUUAGGAGGUUGU
rnacentral:piRNA from 1 species